AUACGGAGGGAGCGAGCGUUAAUCGGAAUUACUGGGCGUAAAGCGCGCGUAGGCGGCUUUGUAAGUCGGAUGUGAAAGCCCUGGGCUCAACCUGGGAAUUGCAUUCGAUACUGCAGAACUAGAGUAUGGUAGAGGGAAGUGGAAUUUCCGGUGUAGCGGUGAAAUGCGUAGAUAUCGGAAGGAACACCAGUGGCGAAGGCGACUUCCUGGGCCAAUACUGACGCUGAGACGCGAAAGCGUGGGUAGCAAACAGGAUUAGAUACCCCGGUAGUCC
rnacentral:rRNA from 1 species